CCGCAUUCUCCUCUGGACUUUCGUGCAGUCUUUCAAGGCCCUACCUUAUGUCUGUCUGCUGAUCGCCAUGCUCUUCUUCAUCUAUGCCAUCAUCGGGAUGCAGGUGUUUGGCAACAUCGGCAUUGAUGGGGAAGAUGAGGACAGCGAUGAGGAUGAGUUCCAAAUCACGGAGCACAAUAACUUCCGGACCUUCUUCCAAGCUCUCAUGCUUCUCUUCCGGUGAGGGGCGCCAGGGAACUGGUCUUUAGGUUGGGUUCAGACCUGUCUUCGUCCUGUGUAUACUCUUCUGGCUGAGGAUGUGGUCCCUCGGACUUUCCAGUUGGGGUGAAAUUAAGUACUGCCCAAAUCGCCCCCCUUUUCCCAGAACUGCUUCCGGACAAGGAUCCUGGACAGGGUAGAAGCAUAGAAGGAAUGUUACUGGCGUUAUCUAGUUGAAUCCUUCUGACCAACUUUUGAGAUGGGAGUUCUUGUGAGCCCCUGUCUUACAUGUGCUAGAAACAAGGGAUAAUCCAUGCCCCCAAAGGAACACAUAACAAAACACGACAGUUCUUUUCAUAAAAAGCAGGCAAUAAGACUCAAACGAUCUAGCC
rnacentral:lncRNA from 1 species